UGCCAUAUGCUUGUCCAAAGAUUAGCCACGUGCACUCAGUACGCCGAAUUAGUGAAACGCGAAUGGCCUCGAUUAAAUCAGGUAUGGUUCAUUAGAUCAAUUGACCCACAUUUGGGAUAACCGUGGUAAUUCUACGACUAAUACACUGCAAAACACGAGUCCCGACCAGUAGAUGGAGGGACGCUUUAUAAAUCAAAACCAUCGGUGGCGCGGGUCCCUGUGCGUCCGCCGUUAUCCUGGUGACUCUGAAUAACUUUGAGCUGAUCGCGUCCUCGGUACCGGCGACGCAUCUCUUCAAAUGCUGCCUGCAACUUCGAUGGCAGGUUCUGCGCCUACCAUGGUUGCUAAAGUACGGUAACGGAAUCAGGGUCUGAUUCGGAGGGCCUGAAAACGGCCACAUCCAAGGAAGAGCAGAGGCGCGCAAAUACCCACCCCGGCACGGGAGGGAGUGGACGAAAGUAAUACGAUACAUGGACAUCCGAGGCCCGUAAUCGAAUGAGCUACACUUUAAAUCCUUAACGAGAUCCAUGUGGAGCGGCAAGUCUGCGUCCAGCAGCCGCGGUAACUCAGCCAAUAGCGCUAUAAAAGUGUUGCGGCAAAAACGCUCUAGUCUGUGAUCUGACACCGUCGGUUCACCCUGCGGUGUCUAAACGUGAUGUGGACGUCCUACCGGUGUAUCAGCUGCGGGCGCAACUGAUAUCCUCAGCAGGGCUUUACUGAGUGUCGAGUCGGGCCGGUACGUUAUUUGAAAACAAUUAGAGGCGUUAAGAGGCUACCUUCGCCUGAAUACUGUGUGGAAUACAUGGAAUGGACUCUGUUUCUAUUUUGUUGGUUUCAACCCUGAGGUAAUGAAUUAAAAGGACAGAUGGGACAUUCGUAUUGCGACGUUAGAGGUGAAAGUGCUUGGAUCGUCGACAAGACGGAGCCAAGGAAAGCAUUUGCCAAAAAUGUCGACUAAUCAGAACGAAAUUAGAGGUUGAAGGCGAUCAGAUACUGCGCCUAGUUCUAACUAUAAACGUGCCAGCUAGCGAUCGCCGAAGUUCUCUCGAUGACUGGCGGGCAGCUUCGGAAACCAAAGCUUUUGGGUUCGAAGUUGGUUGCAAAGCUGAAGCAAAGGAAGAUUGACGAAGGGCACCACAGGAGUGGGCCUGCAGAGCUUAAGUGACGCUCAACACGAAACCUUACCAGCCAGAACUUUGAACGGGAAUUGACAGAUUGAUGCUCUUUCUUGAUUCGGUGGUGGCAGGGUGAUGGCUGGAUUCUUAGUUGGUGGAUGCUUUGUCUGUACAUUCCGAUAACGAACGAACGAAUACAGCUGCAAAAGGCGUACCUUAGGUAUCGCGAAGGCCUCAGGCCCCGGCCGGGUUUACCUAUACGCAACAAAUCUUGAGGGACAGGCGGCUCAGUCAACGACGUUGAGCAAUACAGGUCUGUAUGCCAUAUAGGAUGUUCAAAUACCGCGCUAUGGCGACUAGCCUGAAGAUCAGCGGUGUUCCUGAGCCGAAAGGCCCAGAUCAACUCCGCUGAACCUCCUUCGUGCCCAGGGAUGGCGCUUGUACAUUGUUCCCCAUGAGGUGAAUUCUCGUCAAGCGCGAGUCCUAAGCUCCGCGUGAUCCACGCCGUCCUGCCCUUUGUACACACCGCCCGUCAUAGCCGAUUGAAUGAUGUUGAGCAGUCUGGCUGGACUGGCGCGGCAAUUCUCCGGCAUUGCCUGUGCUCGUAGAAGAUGACCAAACUGAUCAUUUAGAGGAAGUAAAGUCGAACAAAGGUUCCGCUAGGUGAACCUGCGGAAG
rnacentral:rRNA from 1 species